rnacentral:tRNA from 1 species
GCCUUCAUAGUAUAAUGGUCAGCACGCUGAGCUCGUAUUCCAGAGGCCCAUGGUUCGAGUCUCGGCGAAGGCU